GCUCCCAGCCCUUGGAUCAUCUUUGUGGCCUCCUCUGGACUCGCUCCAACAGAUCCACGUCCUUCCUGUGCCAAGAACUCUAUGAGUGGGCUCACAGACUAGGACAAGUAUAAUACAGAUUCUGAAAAUGGGAAUCAUAUUUCUGAGAAUAAGGAGGUCAAACUAGUCGGCACCAUGACUGUCGGAGGUGCUGCUGGCAUAUUUUGCAUAUUUUUCCCUGGAAGCUUCUGGGCCAAUUAUCUGAUUUAUUCCUGCCUGAACUGAUAAAGCCAUUCAUUUCAUGGUGUUUAGCUACACCGUUUGCUUAUGCCUGUUUUCACCAACAAAACACUAAAACAAGAUGUACUUUACCCCCAUAGAAAUUUGAUGGUAAUCAACUUUCAUUUUUAAUUCAGGCCAGAAAGGACAGAAAUUCAUUUAUCAAUUGUUAUGUGUAAUAUAAA